rnacentral:rRNA from 1 species
CACGUAGGGUGCGAGCGUUGUCCGGAAUUAUUGGGCGUAAAGAGCUCGUAGGCGGUCCGUCGCGUCGGAUGUGAAAUUCCAGGGCUCAACCCUGGACCUGCAUUCGAUACGGGCGGACUAGAGUUCGGUAGGGGAGACUGGAAUUCCUGGUGUAGCGGUGAAAUGCGCAGAUAUCAGGAGGAACACCGGUGGCGAAGGCGGAUCUCUGGGCCUUACCUGACGCUCAGGCGCGAAAGCUAGGGGAGCGAACAGG